rnacentral:lncRNA from 1 species
AGCCAAGAGUAAAGAUGGGCACCUUUCCAGAGGUCACCAGCUCCAGGCUGUAGGCUGAACAGGAGGCCCAGGGCGCAGGUUAUAAUGUCAUGGGGCCAAGGGUCUGGGCAGACCCCAGGAGGGGCGCUGGGUCUAGGGGCAGGGGACAGCCAGGCUGAAGUCUAGACCCAGAGGGCACCCGACGUGGGGCUGGGUGCCAGGCCUGGGCUAUGGGCCCUCUGUUCCAGGGUGCUGGCCCACCCCACGCUCUCCAGAGGACCAGGGCGGCUCCCUGGAGAGCAGUUUUGCUCUCUGCCCACUCUCGGUAGGGGCCACAGCUCCAAGGGCGUUUAUAAACAGAUGAGCCUCCCUUCUCCCACCACCCCAAGACUUGCUUGAGCUACAAAAUAAGGAUCUUCAUAAAAAUAGCACCAUCUGAAAGGAAGGCAAGUUGGCCCAGGCCCCAGCAGCACCAGGGCCACAGAGUGAGCUUGGAUGGCAGCCCCCGACCCUGUCCAGCCCGGCCCGGCCCGGCCCUUCGGCCCUUCGGCCCUUCUCAGGACUUCGCCGGGGGAGGCUGCACCUGCCCUCCCGCAGAGGGGCAGCCCCUGUGUAGCAGCCCCGGCCUCAGCGUGGGCACAGGGGCCAGGCCUGCGGCAGGACUGCUGGGAGCUGAGGUGCCGGGGAGGAGGAAGGGGCUGGGCUCUGGGGGAAGCGGCCCCUCUGUGGGGACCCCAGCCCCUCUGUGGGGACCCCAGCGCUGCAGCCUCCUCAGCCCAAGCCUGUGCCCACCUUUGCCCCUAGGAGAUUGUGGACUGGUUCAAUGCACUCCGAGCUGCUCGCUUCCACUACCUGCAGGUGGCAUUCCCAGGGGCCGGCGACGCAGAUCUGGUGCCAAAGCUCUCCAGGAACUACCUGAAGGAAGGCUACAUGGAGAAGACGGGGCCCAAGCAAACGGAAGGCUUCCGGAAGCGCUGGUUCACCAUGGAUGACCGCAGGCUCAUGUACUUCAAAGACCCCCUGGACGCCUUCGCCCGAGGGGAAGUCUUCAUUGGCAGCAAGGAGAGUGGCUACACGGUGCUGCAUGGGUUCCCGCCGUCCACCCAGGGCCACCACUGGCCACAUGGCAUCACCAUCGUCACGCCCGACCGCAAGUUUCUGUUUGCCUGCGAGACGGAGUCCGACCAGAGGGAGUGGGUGGCGGCCUUCCAGAAGGCGGUGGACAGGCCCAUGCUGCCCCAGGAGUACGCAGUGGAGGCGCACUUCAAGCAUAAACCUUAGCGAGUGCGGCUGGAGGACCACGGACAUUGGACUCACUGUGGCUGGACGGAGGGGACCCGUGGAUGGGGGGGCUCUGGCGUCCUGAGGCCACCUGGCCCCACCUGCUCCUCAGGGCAGCCCGGCGCGGCCAGGUAGGGCCCGAGCUUCAGCUUCCAGGAUGCUUCUCUGGAACCUCAAGGCAGGCAGCCCAGGCCCUGGGCCUGAUCUCUAACCCCGUCAUGCUGCUGCUGACCACACCCAGCCAACCUGCCCCUCCCUGACCCGGGGCCCCCUUUCCUCCAGGGCCCAGUCUGGCUCCCGAGCUCAGACACAGCCCCCAGGAGCCGCCCACCACGGCUGUGGGAACUUCCAGGCCUCAGCGCAGAGCCCUGCUUGGGGCCAGCACGGUGGGCAGCUGCCGGCCGCUGGGGACUGGGCCCUGCUCGCAUGCCGCCCCGCCCUCCCCCCACCUCCACGACUAUUUAUUGAGCGCCUGUUGUGUGUCACGGGGCUAUGAGGGCCGUGGGGUGUUUGGGUGGAUUAUCCACACAGGUCCCGGCCCCUGCCCGGGCUGGAGUUGCCACAGCCUGUGCUCCUGGUCCUCACCUGGAGGGGCCAGCAGGCUGCCGUCCCACCACACGUGGCCUCUGCGCCCAGCACGGUGCUCGCCGACAGUGGUGUCUGAACCCUUGGGGACGAGGGCCUGGGCCGCGGUGAGGCCACCAGAGGCAGGAGUGGCCCUGGGGGUCCCGGGCACUGUCGCGCUUGCUGCAGGCGGCCCAGCCGUGUAUUUAUUUUUCACCUAUCUCCUUCCUGUCAAGGCAGGCCGGGCUCCAGGGCUCCCCUUGCGUGGGGCAUGUAGGUGGGGGAGGCGUCUGCAGGUCACCUGGGGGGCCCAGCCCUCUCCCAGCCUUGCCUGGCUGAGCUGUGUUCCAGGGGAGCCCUGGACAAGCCCUCAUAGGCAGGGAGGGGGUUUCCGAGGCCAGGCAUCCGCCGC